rnacentral:rRNA from 1 species
UAGGGAAUCUUCCACAAUGGACGCAAGUCUGAUGGAGCAACGCCGCGUGAGUGAAGAAGGUUUUCGGAUCGUAAAGCUCUGUUGUUGGUGAAGAAGGAUAGAGGUAGUAACUGGCCUUUAUUUGACGGUAAUCAACCAGAAAGUCACGGCUAACUACGUGCCAGCAGCCGCGGUAAUACGUAGGUGGCAAGCGUUGUCCGGAUUUAUUGGGCGUAAAGCGAGCGCAGGCGGAAGAAUAAGUCUGAUGUGAAAGCCCUCGGCUUAACCGAGGAACUGCAUCGGAAACUGUUUUUCUUGAGUGCAGAAGAGGAGAGUGGAAUUCCAUGGGUAGCGGUGGAAUGCGUAGAUAUAUGGAAGAACACCAGUGGCGAAGGCGACUCUCUGGUCUGCAACUGACGCUGAGGCUCGAAAGCAUGGGUAGUGAACAGG